rnacentral:rRNA from 1 species
UACAGGGGGGGCAAGCGUUGUUCGGAAUUACUGGGCGUAAAGCGUGCGCAGGCGGUUGUGCAAGACCGAUGUGAAAUCCCCGGGCUUAACCUGGGAAUGGCAUUGGUGACUGCACGGCUAGAGUGUGUCAGAGGGGGGUAGAAUUCCACGUGUAGCAGUGAAAUGCGUAGAGAUGUGGAGGAAUACCGAUGGCGAAGGCAGCCCCCUGGGAUAACACUGACGCUCAUGCACGAAAGCGUGGGGAGCAAACAGG